rnacentral:tRNA from 1 species
CGGGGCGUGGCUCAGCUUGGUAGAGCGCUUGGUUCGGGACCAAGAGGUCGAGAGUUCGAAUCUCUCCGCCCCGA